rnacentral:rRNA from 1 species
CUGACCUCAAAUCGGGUGAGACUACCCGCUGAACUUAAGCAUAUCAUAAGCGGAGGAAAAGAAACUAACAAGGAUUCCCCUAGUAACUGCGAGUGAAGCCGGG